CAGGUUGAUUGACAAGGAAAUUAUUGGUUCUGAGCAUCGAUGGACAGUAAUUAAAUGAGGCUGAUCAAGGACAAAUAGUAGAUACAAGAAAGCCUGCAGGUGCUACUCCUGCAAACAGAGGACAUUGAGAGACGCCGAAAGAAAUUGAUCGUCGCGGCUCUGACCUUGAACCGAGACGCGUCCUUCAUUAUCGGGUACCAUACUAUCAACAGGUGAUGGCCGCUAACAAGAGACGCAACUGUGUGGACGGUUACCUUGAUUUCGGAGUUACAAGGCUUACCGAGGUGCAGUUAACCCUCAGUGUGUGAUAUCUUGCAAAAUACUCACCGCUGAGUCCCAGGCCCAAUAAACUUAAAUCACACCAGGAAUCCAAGCACCUAAACAUGUUGGCAAAGACCGUCCAUUCUUUGGUCGGCGUCACUCAAAUCUGAAGAGGCGGUCGUGAUUCCAGUGGCUCCA